rnacentral:tRNA from 1 species
GAGGGUAUAGCUCAGUGACAGAGUGUGUGCUUAGCAUACACAAGGUUCUGGGUUCAAUCCUGAGUACCGCCA